GAUUUACUGGGCGUAAAGGGCGCGUAGGCGGUCGUGACAAGUCACUUGUGAAAUCUCCGGGCUUAACUCGGAAAGGUCAAGUGAUACUGUCGGACUAGAGUACAGAAGGGGCAACUGGAAUUCUCGGUGUAGCGGUGAAAUGCGUAGAUAUCGAGAGGAACACCUGCGGCGAAGGCGGGUUGCUGGGCUGAUACUGACGCUGAGGCGCGAAAGCUAGGGGAGCGAACGGGAUUAGAUACCCCGGUAGUCCUAGCCUUAAACGAUGAAUGCUUGGUGUCUCGGGUUAUAAAGUCCCGGGGUGCCGUCGCUAACGCUUUUAGCAUUCCGCCUGGGGAGUACGGUCGCAAGACUGAAACCCAAAGGAAUUGACGGGGACCCGCACAAGCGGUGGAGCAUGUGGUUUAAUUCGACGCAACGCGAAGAACCUUACCUGGGCUAGAAUGCCUCUGACAACUCCAGAGAUGGAGCCUUUUGGGUAAAACCAGACAGAGUGCAAGGUGCUGCAUGGCU
rnacentral:rRNA from 1 species